GUUUUUUAUUAAAUUGUAAACAAGUUAGAUUAGCAAUCCGCAAACAUAAAUAAGAAAAGUUGUUCUCUACCAAUAUCAAUACUACUCUUCAUGCUUCAAUACA